GGACGGUAGCACAGAGGAGCUUGCUCCUCGGGUGACGAGUGGCGGACGGGUGAGUAAUGUCUGGGAAACUGCCCGAUGGAGGGGGAUAACUACUGGAAACGGUAGCUAAUACCGCAUAACGUCGCAAGACCAAAGUGGGGGACCUUCGGGCCUCACACCAUCGGAUGUGCCCAGAUGGGAUUAGCUUGUAGGCGGGGUAACGGCCCACCUAGGCGACGAUCCCUAGCUGGUCUGAGAGGAUGACCAGCCACACUGGAACUGAGACACGGUCCAGACUCCUACGGGAGGCAGCAGUGGGGAAUAUUGCACAAUGGGCGCAAGCCUGAUGCAGCCAUGCCGCGUGUAUGAAGAAGGCCUUCGGGUUGUAAAGUACUUUCAGCGGGGAGGAAGGUGCUGAGGUUAAUAACCUCAGCAAUUGACGUUACCCGCAGAAGAAGCACCGGCUAACUCCGUGCCAGCAGCCGCGGUAAUACGGAGGGUGCAAGCGUUAAUCGGAAUUACUGGGCGUAAAGCGCACGCAGGCGGUCUGUUAAGUCAGAUGUGAAAUCCCCGGGCUUAACCUGGGAACUGCAUUUGAAACUGGCAGGCUUGAGUCUCGUAGNNNGGGGUAGAAUUCCAGGUGUAGCGGUGAAAUG
rnacentral:rRNA from 1 species